rnacentral:rRNA from 1 species
GGGCAGUGUGAAAAAACUCCGGUGGUAUACGAUGGAUCCGCGUCUGAUUAGCUAGUUGGCGGGGUAACGGCCCACCAAGGCAGCGAUCAGUAGCCGGCCUGAGAGGGUGGACGGCCACAUUGGGACUGAGACACGGCCCAAACUCCUACGGAAGGCAGCAG